rnacentral:rRNA from 1 species
AACGUAGGACACAAGCGUUAUCCGGAGUUACUGGGCGUAAAGGGCUCGUAGGCGGUUUGUCGCGUCGGGAGUGAAAACUCAGGGCUUAACCCUGAGCCUGCUUCCGAUACGGGCAGACUAGAGGUAUGCAGGGGAGAACGGAAUUCCUGGUGUAGCGGUGAAAUGCGCAGAUAUCAGGAGGAACACCGGUGGCGAAGGCGGUUCUCUGGGCAUUACCUGACGCUGAGGAGCGAAAGUGUGGGGAGCGAACAGG